GUAGCUGGAAAAUCUGAUGCUCCAUGACAGAAAAACCGUAAAGUUAAAGAACUAUUCGCUUAUCUAAUGCUUAUGUUAGAUAGUUCCUAAUGACAAAGAUAAAGUGUCAACUGAGAAUCCAGUGACGCAAUAAUUUACUACACAAUGCGUGUAUAAGUUGUGGUUCUACUCCUAGAGCCAAAAUUGAUCUAUUGAUGUUUUAUGGAUAUCACUUGGGUUAAAG
rnacentral:lncRNA from 1 species